rnacentral:snoRNA from 2 species
UCAACAUGGACAUCCGUUGAGGUUACUUGUGGGUCUGUCCAAGUGGUAUAUGGGAGUAUAGCCCUAAGUGCAGUGAUGUACAGUCCCCUUCCACAGUGUUGAAGAGCAAGCCCUGUCCCUGGUUCUAGAGCUGAUGAGGGCAGACUCCUUUAUAUUCCUAUAACUUCUCAGUCUCUAGACAAUUACUGAGGAGAAACCAUGCAGGGUGCAACU